GUGCARCAUUACACAUUAACCCGUGGCAAUACAAAGUGACCUUAUUUUCUGUGAAUUUCUGGCAUGGUAGGCYGCUGAAGGUGUACUAGCUCAACUGAGGGCCAAGAAGUAUUGRACACUUGCUGUAUUAUACAAAACUAUAAUAACCCAUUUGAUUAAACGUGUUCUAAGAAUGAAUCCUGAGUGGGCAGAAUAUAAAUGUAAAUCGGGGGAGACUUUAUUUUUGUAUAACAAGAAGACUGGGGAACACAGAUGGCUAGAUCAAUCAUCUUCUAAAGGGGGAAUUAUUGAGUCGAUAGAAAUUGACUSUAUUUGGACCGAAUACAAAUGCAAAUCAGGUGAAACACUAUUCCUGUACAACAAGAAAACAGGCCGGCACUUAUGGCCUGUUUAUAAACAGGUAUAUAUAGUAAGACUAUAGAAUUUAUAUGAUGUAAUGAGCCUACCCUGCCUACUGCAAAUGAUGAUUUCUUCCCU